rnacentral:rRNA from 1 species
UACGUAGGUGGCAAGCGUUGUCCGGAUUUACUGGGCGUAAAGAGCGCGCAGGCGGUCGUUCAAGUCGCGUGUGAAAGCCCCCGGCUCAACUGGGGAGGGUCACGCGAUACUGAUCGACUCGAAGGCAGGAGAGGGAAGUGGAAUUCCCGGUGUAGUGGUGAAAUGCGUAGAUAUCGGGAGGAACACCAGAGGCGAAGGCGACUUCCUGGCCUGUUCUUGACGCUGAGGCGCGAAAGCUAGGGGAGCAAACGGGG